rnacentral:lncRNA from 1 species
GCAAAGCGUCAAAUACCGUAUAUUACGGUUUGGGGCGUCGUGAGACCAACCGUAAUGCUUUACAGUCCCGUACCAGUGGCCAUUUUCGUGAACCCAAAACAUUUUAGUAAUUAUAGUAACAUUAAAUAACAUUUUCUUUUAGCUGCUACGUCUGUUCGCGUGGUUCAUGUGUAACAAUGGCCGAUGAGACACCCAAACAGCAGCCCGUGGUCAUGAAAAAGCUGAACAACAUUCUUAAAAGUAGCACAACUUUGCUGGCUGGAGUGGCGAGGACCCCAAGCGGCAUACCGCCGGACACGGACAGCGAUGACGACAUCGCGAUUGGCGCGCUCGCACGGAAAUAAAUGCACGACCACUUCAGAAUGAGCAGAGUGCUGAUUUCUAGUAUCAUUGUUUACAUAGUUACCUUGGUGCUGGUAUAGAUCUACUUAGUUGUGGCUAUGUUGAGGUGCGUUUUCGAACUUCGAAGCAAGGUUUUCGCGGCAAAUCGGACAUUUUCGUCUUCCAUUAAUUGCUCUAGAAUGGAUGUUAGAUGUUAUAUGUUGCUUUGGAGGCGCGGUGGCGUGUGGACAUCUGACUUCCGGUGAGGACAGGCAAAAUGGACACCGUAAUUGACGUUACGCCGUCACACCGAAAACUUACGGUCAUUUUUGGGCCCUACCGUAAGUGCUUGAAUGUAAAUGCUCGUCGCUCCGUACCGGACUAGCGUGAAGUGGGCCUUUGCGUCCAGCCUUACACCCGAUCCCAAUGUUUAAUCAGGCCACACCACAUCCCAGCCACACCGCCUUGCGGCUCGUCUGCAAGGCUCAGCCUUGUCAUGUCUCCGGGCUUCCUUGGAUCCUCGCUUUCGCUAUCUUUCCUGUCGUACUCUCGCGCCUAGUCGGCCCUGCCUUACCUCAAAAUGAACACUACCUCGGUCGCGUAACUCGGCCUGAAAGGGGUGAGGAUGUG